rnacentral:sRNA from 1 species
UCCGUUAAUCGAUGUGUGUGUAGGAAUUAACGGCAGCAUGGACUUGAGGGACGGCGUCGACGCCUCCGGCAGAAAGGGCAAGGUUUGUAGUAACUGAAAACGGUGUUGUUUAAUAUCCUUUUUAAUAAUAAUU